GGGCUCUUGGCACAGUUGGUAGCGCGCACGCUUCGCACUGCAGAUUGCGUGAGGUCGUGGGUUCAACUCCCACAGUGUCCA